rnacentral:rRNA from 1 species
CCUACGGGAGGCUGCAGUAGGGAAUAUUGGACAAUGGGCGAAAGCCUGAUCCAGCAAUGCCGCGUGAGCGAUGAAGGCCUUAGGGUUGUAAAGCUCUUUUACCCGAGAUGCAGUAUCGGGAGAAUAAGCCCCGGCUAACUCCGUGCCAGCAGCCGCGGUAAUACGGAGGGGGCUAGCGUUGUUCGGAAUUACUGGGCGUAAAGCGCACGUAGGCGGCUAUUCAAGUCAGAGGUGAAAGCCCGGGGCUCAACCCCGGAAUUGCCUUUGAAACUAGAUAGCUAGAAUCACGGAGAGGUAAGUGGAAUUCCGAGUGUAGAGGUGAAAUUCGUAGAUAUUCGGAAGAACACCAGUGGCGAAGGCGGCUUACUGGACGUGAUUGACGCUGAGGUGCGAAAGCGUGGGGAGCAAACAGGAUUAGAUACCCUUGUAGUC